CCUACGGGAGGCAGCAGUGGGGAAUAUUGCACAAUGGGGGAAACCCUGAUGCAGCGACGCCGCGUGAGUGAAGAAGUAAUUCGUUAUGUAAAGCUCUAUCAGCAGGGAAGAAAAUGACGGUACGUGAGUAAGAAGCCCCGGCUAACUACGUGCCAGCAGCCGAGGUAAUACGUAGGGGGCAAGAGUUAUACGGAUUUACUGGGUGUAAAGGGAGCGUAGACGGCAGUGCAAGUCUGGAGUGAAAGGCGGGGGCUCAACCCCCGGACUGCUCUGGAAACUGUACGGCUGGAGUGCAGGAGAGGUAAGUGGAAUUCCUAGUGUAGCGGUGAAAUGCGUAGAUAUUAGGAGGAACACCAGUGGCGAAGGCGGCUUACUGGACUGUAACUGACGUUGAGGCUCGAAAGCGUGGGGAGCAAACAGGAUUAGAUACCCGAGUAGUC
rnacentral:rRNA from 1 species